UACGGAGGAUGCGAGCGUUAUCCGGAUUUAUUGGGUUUAAAGGGAGCGCAGACGGGUCGUUAAGUCAGCUGUGAAAGUUUGGGGCUCAACCUUAAAAUUGCAGUUGAUACUGGCGUCCUUGAGUGCGGUUGAGGUGUGCGGAAUUCGUGGUGUAGCGGUGAAAUGCUUAGAUAUCACGAAGAACUCCGAUUGCGAAGGCAGCACACUAAGCCGUAACUGACGUUCAUGCUCGAAAGUGUGGGUAUCAAACAGGAUUAGAAACCCGGGCGGCUGACUGACU
rnacentral:rRNA from 1 species